GGAUGCCCAACGAGCGAAUCCGCCUGAGUUACUCAAAUGACUGGGGGGGCAGCUUCCGGGGAAACCAAAAGUAUAGGGUUUCCGGGGGAAAAUAUGAUUACAAAGUUGAAAUUAAAAGGAAUAUACGGAAGGGCACCACCAGGAGUGGAGCAAGCGGUUUAAUUUGGCUCAACACGGGAAAACUUACCCGGCCGGGACACUGGGAAGAUUGACAGAUUGAGAGCUCUUUCUGGAUUCGGUGGAAGGUGGAGCAUGGCCGUUCUUAGUUGGUGGAGCGAUGUGUCUGGUUAAUUCCGAUAACGAACGAGACUCUAGCCUAUUAAAUAGGUGCGGGGUUCCCAGCACCUUACAACCUUCUUAGAGGGACAAGCGGGUCCUAGCCGCACGAAACAGAGCAAUAACAGGUCUGUGAUGCCCUUAGAUGUCCGGGGCCGCACGCGCGCUACACUGAAGGAAGCAGCGUGUCUUUAUCCCUGUCUGAAAAGACUGGGUAACCGGUGGAACUUCUUUCGUGAUUGGGAUAGGGGCUGGCAAUUGUUCCCCUUGAAGGAGGAAUUCCCAGUAAGCAGGAGUCAUAAGCUCGCGCCAUUGCGUCCAUGCCCUUUUACACGCCGCCCGUCAUUACUUGUGGCUCAUGCCUUAACUAAUUACUCGGAUCAACGUGCGAUAAGUCGGAACAUGCUCGUCCGGAUUUAACCGGUAAUAACGUGGAUCAUCCCUUAACUCUUAAGACCGGUGACAGUGUAAG
rnacentral:rRNA from 1 species